rnacentral:lncRNA from 1 species
AUGAUGAGUGAUUUUUAUACAGCUGCUCUAUGCCAGUCACAUGGGUGCCAAGAACAUAAAGAUGGAGAAAAGAACCACGACACCAAGGGACAGAGAAGAGAAAAAAAUGUAAGUUGCAUUUAUCAAGCUUCUUGUUCUCACCCCUUCCCCAAGCCCACCUGCAUUCUUGACUUUGGGAGGCACUGUAGUACUUGAUUCUUCCCAUAAGGUGACUUCUGGAUUCUGUUUGAAAGCCAAAGCCACCUGCUCUCUUCCCUCCAUCUGGAACAUACAUUUCCCAACUUUUUGCACUGCUGGCUCUUUCUUUAACUCAUCUUUUAAAAUGUUGUCUUUCAAAUUUCCCUUUGUGGCUUAGUGGGUUAUAAACCCAACUACUAUCCAUGAGGAUGUGGGUUCAAUCCCUGGCCUCACUCAGUGGGUUAAGGAUUGGGCAUUGCCCUUAGCUGUGGUGUAGGUCAUAGAUGUGGCUUGGAUCUGGCGUUGCUGUGGCUGUGGCCUGCAGCUGCAGCUCCAAUUCAACCCCUAGCCUGGGAACUUCCAUAUUCCACAGGUGUGGCCGUAAAAAGCAAAAUUAAAUUAAAUUAAAUUAAGUCUUAUCUUUCAUCCACCGUCUACAUGGAAUUAUUGGAACACUUUUAAGGAUGUAACACUAUUAAGUGAAUAACUAAAUGAAAAGAAACCUAAUACUGUUUCUGAUCCUCAUUUUCCCCAACUGUGAAAUGGAAAAACAGAAGGGUAUUUUCACAAGGUGACUGUGGAGAUGGAAGCAAAAUAGGGAGAGGAGGGUUCCUGGUACACAGGGUCCACUGGGUGUAUGGUAGCCACUCUGGGCAGUGGUGGUGCAACUGUAGCUUCAGCAUCUCCGAUAAUGGGCAUGUGAUUUCCACCUCAGGUUGUCCCAUUUCUAUGUUUUGACUCAAAAACCCCAGUGGGGCAGGACUAUGGAAAAGGAUACAUCUGAAAUUAGAUUUGCCACUACGAUUCCCAAAUCAGAAUCCAUUUUCAUGUAAUGUGUCUCUCUGCCAUGAGCGGUGCAGCUGUGCUGAGGAUUAAAUGAGGAGGACAGAUCUGUCUUCUAAAGGAGGGCGAAUUUCCUGGACUGGUCUGUCAAGAUAUUUGCUUUCCCACCAUUUGUCUGGGUUGGAUCCCAGAUGCCCCUCACACUGGCCUCCUCCCUCACAAUAACCAGAGAUCAUAUUAAGCAUCAACUCAUGGAACUGAGA